rnacentral:tRNA from 1 species
GUGUCUGUAGCUCAACUGGCAGAGCACCGGUCUCCAAAACCGAAGGCUGAAGGUUCAAGUCCUUCCAGGCCCGCCA